rnacentral:rRNA from 1 species
GACGAACGCUGGCGGCGUGCUUAACACAUGCAAGUCGAGCGGAAAGGCUCCUUCGGGGGUACUCGAGCGGCGAACGGGUGAGUAACACGUGAGUAAUCUGCCUCUGGCUUCGGGAUAGCCCUCCGAAAGGGGGAUUAAUACCGGAUAUGACCAGCUACUGCAUGGUGGUUGGUGGAAAGUUUUUUCGGCCAGGGAUGUGCUCGCGGCCUAUCAGCUUGAUGGUGGGGUAAUGGCCUACCAUGGCUUCGACGGGUAGCCGGCCUGAGAGGGUGACCGGUCACACUGGGACUGAGACACGGCCCAGACUCCUACGGGAGGCAGCAGUGGGGAAUAUUGGACAAUGGGCGGAAGCCUGAUCCAGCAACGCCGCGUGAGGGAUGACUGCCUUCGGGUUGUAAACCUCUUUCAGUACCGACGAAGCGAAAGUGACGGUAGGUACAGAAGAAGCACCGGCCAACUACGUGCCAGCCGCCGCCGUAA